UCUUCUGCUUUCAGGCUUGUGGCCUGUGUUCAAAAAAAACCGUGAAGAAUGAAGACAGAGAAGGUCCCAGGGAAGGCACCCCGGUCCUCCUCUGGCAUUCCUGACUCCCAGCCCCAGACUCCAUCCCAGGGGCUGCCUGGACUCCAGAGGACUUCAACCCACAGUCAAUCGUGUGGGGGGAGAGCUUGGGGGCAGGAGCAAGGAGCUGUGUCUUUGACCCUGAGCGCAUCUGCAACCCCCUAGCACCAGGGAUGCAGGGGGAUGGGUGAAACCCAAGGGACAACUGCCUGUCUCCUGGAGAGCAGGGGAGGAGCAGAUGGGUGUAGAGGGGGUGCCUUGAACCUAAGUUGAUGACGUUGGCUCAGUGCCAGGAUGGACAGGCUGAGGCGGGUGUUGAGGACAACCAAGGUAGGCUGCGUGCCAGAAGAGAGCAGCAGGGGGCCUGGGCGGGAACAUUCGGGCCCUGCCUGCACUGACAAGGAGGGGGCCAUCAAGGCAAGGAAGUGGCUGUACCCCAUGUGCUAGCAAAGAAAACCAGCAGCUCCCAGCCCCAAGGAAGAGAAGGAAAAGAAACCCACAACCUCCAGGUCCAAGUGGAGGGGACCCUGGGUGUGCCCAGGCAGCCAGGAGCCAUCAAAAGAAGAGCACCAGACAGAAGAACCAUGUUGCCCCUUGCCCAGGGCAUGGAGCAGCCACUGCAACCUGGUAGGUCCCCCUGCCAAUGUCCUGUCCCACAAGCCAGCCACUGGCAUGUGCGGGCACAAGCUCCAUGGCACUGACCCUGGGCUCUCCCUCCCCUUCCUGGUCACACAGAGGAUGCACACGGGGAACCUGGAGGACCUACUGUGGUGCCUUCUGUCCAGCUUGGGCAGCUGAAUUUCCUGUGGGAGAGGCUGGGCUUGGGGAGGGAUGGCUACCAGCCCUGUGAACUGCACAAGCCUCUCUCAAUGCGUUUGGAGCUGUAAGGCAGACAGCCAAGCCAGAGCUCAAAGCCUCAGCCCUGAGGAGGAGGGCACAGCCAAUGGUGCUCUGUACAGCAGGGGCAUGUGCCUGUUGAUCUUGAAGUCUUCUUCCCACUGCAAUUCACAUUCUGGAUGGAGGCGCCAGAUGGCCAGCACUGAGUCCUGGGCAUGAGGACCAGCACCACUGUCAUCUCCUUUGCAGUCCAUCUUCUCCCACAAUUUGAGGGCUCCCCUAACAUGCCUGAGGUGGGGGACACGGCAGCACACCUGGGUCUGUCCAUCAGUGACAGCUGCAAUACCAUGGAGAGCUUGUAUUGCCUCGCUCAAAUCCUCCUGCACCAGAGGGGUAAGGAGACCUAGGUAGAGCUCAGGACUGUGAUGCAAACUGUGCCCCCCCACAAAGCCUGAUCCAAAACUGGGCUCAGAGCCUUGUGUCUCCACUUCUCCCAGGCCAAGACAUGCGAGGGGCAGAUGAGCUGUUCUGUGAGUGCCAGAUGGAACCAAGCCAGGUCCAGGGCUACAGGGACCUGGCAAGAGUUGGAGAGGGGCUGAGAAAGAUCUGGUAGGAGAAACAAAAGAGAUUGUUCCUGCAGAGGGCCAUUCUAGCAAUUCAUCAAGGGCUGCUGCAUGUCAAGACAGCUGGUCUGGUCUUCCUGUAUGCCAUCCUGGGGGAAGCCAGCCACUUGAUCGGGGACAAGGUCAGCAGGUGCCUUGGGUGCAGGGGAAUGAGACAGGAUCCCUCGCCUCUUUGCCAUGUAUUGUCACUCUCAACUCAUAACAAGGAGCAGAGAGAGGUCAUUAGCCACAGGAGUCUGAGCUCCAGCACAAGACAGGGUUCAUUUGCACCUUAUAGAUUAACUGAAUCUGUGAGAUAUGUAUAUUUAGCUACAAAUAUGGUGACCCUGAGGUCACUUGUCUAUAAAGUGCAACUCUUCCCUGACUUCUGAAGAAACUGGCCUCUAGGAGAAUGGGCCAGUCAAGUAAUUUGGAUAGAACAAUUAAUUUUUUCAUUGUUUUUCACAAUGCCUGAGCGUGAUGGCACCUGCCUGUCCCUUGCAUGUGUCAUGUCCCACAGGGUGAAGGUCUCUGGCCAAGCCCAAAGAUAAAAAGCACACCACCAUCAGAAAAGCUUCCCCAUCCCAGCCUCUGGUCAGGAUUGCUUAGGAGCUGCACAGGACCCAGGUUGCUACAAGUGCACCAGCUCCAGAAACUCUUAGAAGAGCAGGUCUAAAAUGGACCCCAGGGGGUCAUCUCGCCCAGCCUCCUGCUCGAGGCAGGAUCAUGCCCACCUCAACAAGCUGGACAGGUGUCUGUCUAAGCUUAUCCUCAAAGCCUUAGGAACAACCUCAGGCACAAUGACCAGACAUCUCACACCUGAGGCAUCACAAAUGAGCUUUAAGUUGCCACAGGUACUGCAGAGAGAGAGAGGGCACUGUCACUGUCCUACCACUGCAAGGGUGCCAAACAGCGCUCUGGAGAUCCAAGACCAGGCCCUCACUGCAGGGGAAGGCAGGAACUCCCAUGGGCCAUGCCCAACUGAGCAGGUGGAAACAUUUCUCCUGGUCCUAAACAAGCCCAUGGGUCUGCACCUCCACCUCCGCAGAGCCAGCCCAAUCGCAGGUAGCAGGCUGAAAAUGGAUUCUGUUGCAGAGAUAGAAAGGCCAGGCCCUGGGCAAACAGGCUGGGGGCCAUUUCUCCUGCUGCCCCUGAGCCUGCACUUGCCUUAUGAAGAAUACAGGAUUCUGCCCAUAGGCACUGCCGAACUGCCCCAUUGCCCUGGGCUGCCACCCCCUGCCUUCCCCAGGACUCAAUGACAAUGUUCCCUGCAGGAACCUGUCCACAUUUCACUGGGCUACUGCCAAAACCCCUUAGUUUCCGCCCAAUUCCUGCCCCAUGGACUCAUGCUGAGGAGGUGCAGGACAGGCAUGUGGGGAGUGGGGCAGGAGCUCUGGCUAUUGAGGGCUGAGAAUUCGACUGUGAAGGUCGCUAGGGAGGCAGAGAAGAGUCUGUCUCAGACAUUGGGGGGAAUCCAUCUCUUAGGGGCUGGGUGGAGAUUGUCUUGGGUCUGGGGGCCUUGAUCCCUUCCCCCCAUGCCCCAUCCUUGCUGGGGGUAGUAGAGGCAGCUCUGGCUGGCUCUUGUGCCCCUGCAGGAGGAAAUCUCCAUCAGGGUGUUGAGGAAGCUGGUUCUCAUGAAGUGCUGCAAAGAGCUGCCCAAAGAGCUGCAAAGGCUGCUAGCUAGCUCCUCCUUUUGUUGGUCACCAUUUGGGGCCAGGAAGGAAUUUUUUCCUCCCUCAUCUAUAGAACUAUCUUCUGGGGGAGUUGCCUUCCUCUGAGGCAUUGGGGCAUCGUCAAAUCAUCACGGCAUCUGUUGUCUUAGCAACCUGCCUUAGUGCACCUGCCUCAAGGGAGAAUUCUUUGAUGGCCAUGGAGGGAGAGAAAAAAGCAAAGGCAAAAUGUAUAUUGUGGAACACAGAAGUUACAGGUAGAGGUAGAGUAAUAAAGUUGAAAUUAAGUUUCCUUUUCUUAUAAGUGUCGGUGUUCAUCUCAUAUUCCUGUGUGAAACAAAAACUCAUGACAUACAAUGAA